GACGAACGCGGCGGCGUGCCUAAUACAUGCAAGUAGAACGCUGAAGGAGGAGCUUGCUCUUCUGGAUGAGUUGCGAACGGGUGAGUAACGCGUAGGUAACCUGCCUGGUAGCGGGGGAUAACUAUUGGAAAUGAUAGCUAAUACCGCAUAAUAGUAGAUGUUGCAUGACAUUUGCUUGAAAGGUGCAAUUGCAUCACUACCAGAUGGACCUGCGUUGUAUUAGCUAGUUGGUGGGGUAACGGCUCACCAAGGCGACGAUACAUAGCCGACCUGAGAGGGUGAUCGGCCACACUGGGACUGAGACACGGCCCAGACUCCUACGGGAGGCAGCAGUAGGGAAUCUUCGGCAAUGGACGGAAGUCUGACCGAGCAACGCCGCGUGAGUGAAGAAGGUUUUCGGAUCGUAAAGCUCUGUUGUAAGAGAAGAACGAGUGUGAGAGUGGAAAGUUCAUACUGUGACGGUAUCUACCA
rnacentral:rRNA from 1 species